rnacentral:miRNA from 1 species
AGGCUGACAUACAUUUCCC